AUUGAACGCUGGCGGCAUGCCUUACACAUGCAAGUCGAACGGUAACGGGCCUUCGGGUGCCGACGAGUGGCGAACGGGUGCGUAAUACAUCGGAACGUGCCCGAUCGUGGGGGAUAACGAGGCGAAAGCUUUGCUAAUACCGCAUACGAUCUACGGAUGAAGGCAGGGGACCGCAAGGCCUUGCGCGGACGGAGCGGCCGAUGGCAGAUUAGGUAGUUGGUGGGAUAAAAGCUUACCAAGCCGACGAUCUGUAGCUGGUCUGAGAGGAUGAUCAGCCACACUGGGACUGAGACACGGCCCAGACUCCUACGGGAGGCAGCAGUGGGGAAUUUUGGACAAUGGGCGCAAGCCUGAUCCAGCCAUGCCGCGUGCAGGAUGAAGGCCUUCGGGUUGUAAACUGCUUUUGUACGGAACGAAAAGCCUUCUUUUAAUACAGGAGGGUCAUGACGGUACCGUAAGAAUAAGCACCGGCUAACUACGUG
rnacentral:rRNA from 1 species